AUCUGCGUUUAGAUGUCGGGGAUGUGUUAGACGAAUGAUUUUGUUUUAUGGAGCUUUGAAGAGCGAUGAAUGGCACUAAAGUGGUGCCAAAUUGAUAUCUCAAACACCCAUUGGAAAUAACCACCAUCUCUCUCAGAGGUCGUCUUUCUCAUUAUUGUGGAGAAACCUCAAAGGGCAUCAGGAAAACCUUCAUCACCUCUUUGUGCCCAGUGGCUUGUGCAACAGUGUUUCAGAAAUAAUCAUUAAAAUGGGGAUAAUGGAUGACUGGCCACACAUAUGGGGCUAUGGACAAGCUUCAGAGCAGGCUGCCAGCGACAUUAGAUGACAAGCCAUCUAUGCUGGACAUUCUUCACAAUAAAAUGUGAUGUCACAGCAGCUGUCUAUCUCAACAGCUCACACUGUCCGUAUUUGACUAAAGGAAUGAAUGAAGUCACUGCAGAAGUUGGAUUGAGGAAUGUCCAUGUCACUACCCAUCAUUUGGAAGGUGUUGGAUAAAAAAAGUGUGGCCUAUGUAUUGAAACUGGUCCGACAUUCCAGUUACGGACAGUCUUGAUUUGUUUGAUUCCAUUUCUGACCAACAUGAUGGUCUUAAAGAACACUUACUGGUAAAUGGUAAAAUCAUGGCCCAGUUGUUCCAAGAGGCAGGCGAGUGGGAAGUUACUAGACUCUAUUUCUUUAUGGGUUGAUCUGAGGUUCCAGUUCAGUUAGUACUGAUGGAACACCAAG